rnacentral:rRNA from 1 species
AACGGCCGCGGUAUCCUAACCGUGCAAAGGUAGCAUAAUCACUUGCCUAUUAAUUGUAGGCUAGAAUGAAUGGAUUAACGAAAUAAAAACUGUCUCAAUUAAUUAUCUAAAAAUUAUUCUCUAUUUGAAGAAAAAUAGAUAAUCUCGAAGGACAAGAAGACCCUAUAGAGCUUAAUCUUACUUAUAGAAUUACUACUAUAAUGAUAUUCGGUUGGGGCGACCAUGGACUAAUAAAUCAUCCAUUAAAUAAAAGAUAUAUUAAUCAUACAAUUGAUCCUUCUAUGGACCACAAGACCAAGUUACCUUAGGGAUAACAGGCUAAUCCCACUUAAGAGUCCUUAUCAACAGUGGGGUUUGGCACCUCGAUGAUGGCUUAGG